UACAGAGGGUGCGAGCGUUGUCCGGAAUCACUGGGCGUAAAGGGCGCGUAGGUGGCGGCCCAAGUCCAUGGUGAAAGCUCGAUGCUCAACAUCGAGUCGGCCACGGAUACUGGGUUGCUCGAGCACUGUAGGGGCAGAUGGAAUUCCGGGUGUAGCGGUGGAAUGCGCAGAGAUCCGGAAGAACACCGGUGGCGAAGGCGGUCUGCUGGGCAGUUGCUGACACUGAGGCGCGACAGCGUGGGGAGCAAACAGG
rnacentral:rRNA from 1 species